UAGAUAGAUGCUCGCUGGCUUGAGUGCUUAGCUGUUAACUAAGUGUUUGUAGGAUCGAGGCCUACCUAUUUAG
rnacentral:tRNA from 1 species